UACGGGGGGGGCAAGCGUUGUUCGGAAUUACUGGGCGUAAAGGGCUCGUAGGCGGCCAACUAAGUCAGACGUGAAAUCCCCGGGCUCAACCCGGGAACUGCGUCCGAUACUGGGGGGCUUGAAUCCGGGAGAGGGAUGCGGAAUUCCAGGUGUAGCGGUGAAAUGCGUAGAUAUCUGGAGGAACACCGGUGGCGAAGGCGGCAUCCUGGACCGGUAUUGACGCUGAGACGCGAAAGCCAGGGGAGCAAACGGG
rnacentral:rRNA from 1 species